UGAGAAAUGGAAGCCUCUUGAGGAAGAUUCAGACGAUGAUUGUGGUAUCGACUACAGCCUUCCACUCAAUCAAAUGGUUAAGGGCUGGCAAGAAUCAGAAGGAAAAGACUUGAGUUGCGUCGACCUUGAAGACACUAAGGGUAGCAUCCCUUCAAGACCUACUGGAUUCGCCGAGUCCUUUACAUCAGUUGAUGGUAGAUAAGAAAAAAAAGGUAAUACAAUAUUCCUAUUCAGUAGUAAAUGUGGA
rnacentral:misc_RNA from 1 species